rnacentral:rRNA from 1 species
UACGUAGGAGACGAGCGUUGUCCGGAAUUACUGGGCGUAAAGCGCGUGUAGGCGGGCGUGCAAGUCUGCUGUGAAAGCUCCUGGCUUAACCGGGAGUGGUCGGUGGAAACUGCACACCUGGAGGACGGUAGAGGUAGGUAGAAUUCCCGGUGUAGUGGUGAAAUGCGUAGAGAUCGGGAGGAACACCGAUGGCGAAGGCAGGUCUCUGGGCCACUACUGACGCUGAGAAGCGAAAGCAUGGGGAGCGAACAGG